CUAACAUGUUCUAUGUCCCCUUCAGUCAUGGGAUACUGAAGUAUUGAAGCUGAGAGGGGAUUAUGGAGACCAACUGUCUUUUUUUUUUUUUUUUUUAAGUUGACUACCUGAGAUCAAGACCUGAGCUGGGUCAAGAUUACUUAAGCAACUGAGCCACCCAGGCACCCCCAGAGGCCAACUGUCUAAGUCCUCACCUUACAGAUGGGACUAUUGAGGACCAGAGAGGCAAUUAACUAGUUUGAGUUCCUUAAGUUGUCUUCUAAAUAUUUGUACUCAGUCCUCCAAGGAUGGCAGUAGAGCAAGGACAGAGACAUAACAUUACAGCAUAGCCAGAGCCAUUGGGAUUAAACAUUCCCGGAGGUGAAGUGUUCCAGCCUUGAUGGAUGAGCAGGGCUACCGUGACUGUGAUGUUCCUUGUGCCUUGAUCUUACUCCACCUUUUAAGAUAACUGUGGCAGGCUGGAAAAGCCCCGUGUAUCUACCAUUUCUUCCAGGGAGUCACCUCUGACUACUGCUGAUUGCUGGUGCCUUUAUUUAUCUGCCUCCUCACUAACUUCUGCUCUACUUCAAGAGCUGGCCCACAUCAGAAGGUACAAAAUUACAAUCAUAAGUCCACUGAUUCCCAAAAUGUUAGAGCCAAAAGGGAAUUUUGAAAUGUCAAUCUUCUCACCUCCCCUCUUUGAUUCAUUUAUUUGCUUAUUAAUCUAUCCACUUAACAAAUAUUUAUUUAAUGCCUACUAUGUGUCAAGCACUAUGCUAGGCAGAAGACAUAAAGUAAAAACAAGGCAUUAGGGACCUAGUAUGGAUAUUUAAUGACUACUUGUUUUUUAAUUAAUGAACACUUAGCCUUUCUAUGUGCAUAAUGGCGCAAGGCUUUGAUACUUAGGUGUUUGACAAUAUUCAGGUGCAAACUGGGGAAAUAGCCCGGUAUUUGGGGUUAAGACUUGUAAGGCUGGCAAAGGUUUGAAGCAUCACUCUCUUUUGUCCAAUGGGGAUUUAACAAAAACUUUCAAGUUUCUGGUUUGGGAGUUUAGGUAGGUUUGUCUUUGGAUAUGUAAAUAGUGGAUUGCUAAAUUUGGUCAGAUUUCUCCUGACUGGCUGUUCCUAAAUUCUUAAGAUACGUCCUGGUAAAUUACACUUUGUGAAUUGUCAUAUGUGUAAUCACUGCAUUUUGGAUGUACCUAAUUUGAUAAUUUUUAAAAAAUAUUUCCAUUUAAGGUAUCUGUUUGCAGGUCAGAAAAUGGGAAAAUGUAAUUGUGUAAUGCUCUGAAAUGUAAAAAAAAAAAAAAAAAAGAAGCUGUAAAUAAAAUCGACUAAAUCCAAAAAAGAAAAACA
rnacentral:lncRNA from 1 species